AUAUAAUAAUGGUGGUAUUUGUUAAGCACUUACUAUGUGCAAAGCACUGUUCUAAGCGCUGGGGGAUACAAGGUGAUCAGGUUGUCCCACGUGGGGCUCACAGUUUUAAUCCCCCUUUUACAGAUGAGGUAACUGAGGCACAGGGAAGUUAAGUGAUUUGCUCUAUGAGGAGAGGAAGGAGUUUAGCAGUCAGUGGACCUUUUACAUCAUUGUUUGUCUAUUGAAGUCUUUCAUUUUGACAUCACAAUAGCAGUACCAACAGAGACUUGACUCGUAAAACCGAAGGCCUCAGAUAGAGGCAACUGAAAGUGGGCUGGCAUAAAACACCUUAGGUAGUGUAGUAUUUUGGGUUUUUUGUUUUGUUUUUUGCAGUAGAUUCAGAAUAUUACAAAGUCACAGCUUAAAUCUAUAAUCAAAUUUGUGGAAUCUUUUGUGGGUGUCGAGUUCUAUAGUAACAAAAAGACAGAAAUGAGAUGAGACUAAGGCAUUUUGACCUCAGAACCAAAACUUCUGGCAAACAUUUUUCUUUGAAGAAAGCUGCAUAUAUGUUCUUUUGGUGUAAAGUUAAAGUUUCUCCCUCUUCUCUCUAGACCCACUCCGGAUCUCUUCAGCAGCUGGUUCAGUCACGACAAAAAGCAGCUAAAGCACUACAGGAAACAUUGUACAAGAUAGCAGUUCAAGAGGCAGAGGCUGCUCCACUCACCAUAGAUGCAGCUUGCCAGAUCUGUGAGGAGGAACAUCCUUCAGAGAGACGUCGUCAUUAAGAUGAUGCUGAUGAGGAAGCUUCCCCAGCAGAAAAUGUGGUGUCAUCUGACAAGAAUCCUCAAAAAGAGGCCUACCCAGUGCAGUCUCCCCCUUCGCCAGCUACAGCAGCAAAAUAAACAGCACCAGGUGGAAACCAAGGAACAUGCCUGUGGUUGAAAGUAACUAAUUUUCAUAAGUAUUUGAAUUCAGUUACAUUCUAGAUAUUAACAACAAAUAGAAUUUCUCUCUUAUUACAUUAGAAGGUGAUUGAGAUUGGUAGUAAAUUUCUUAAAUCUUACAGUCUUUCAGUGGGAUUACAAAUAAUGGAAUUUGGCUUAGGAAGAAGUUGCUUAAUACAUGUCAAUUUUGAUAUAACGUACAGUAGCUUCUCUCAGUUUAGUGCAAAUGAGCUUCUUUGGAGGGGAAAAAACUAUUAGUGCUUUUGCAUCUGUUUCUGAAUAGGGCUUCUUACUCUUUGCUUUUAAAUCUUGAAUAAAAUGGGAAAGCUGUUCUCUGAAAUUUGGGAAUAUGGCUUGUCCUGAACCUUAGCUCUGCUAAUGGACUCUGGACUAAAGAAAGCAAAACUGACUAUUUCAUGAGAGUUCAGCCUACAGUUACUUGGCCAAUCUCAGGCUUGUAGAAACACAUGGCUGAAAUUUGAUUCUAACAGAUGUAGAUUUUCCACUGAAACAGAAAGAUGGGACUUAAGCUGGAAUAUCGAAGAAAUAGGCAAUACCCCAAGUUUCUGGGUUUUUUUUCACCAAAAGUCUAUUUAAUCAAAGCUUUCAUUCUUCUUGGGAGCAGUUCAAGUUGUUUGUUACUGACCUUCAAAUUUAGCCUUUAAACAAGAAUAGAGCCAUUCAGCUUUUUGUUAAAGUAUGGAUGCAAGCUACCCAAUGGUACACUGUUUUGAUGCAUUUAUUGAGCACCAUUACAUACACAGUAUACUGCUAGAUACUUGGAGAACAGAGGAGUAUGAGACAAUUCCAGCUUUCAAAGAGGGCAGGCUAAUGGGAAAGGCCAGUUUAUAUAAAGAGGUGAACAUGCAAUAGUUAAAACAUAAAAUAAUGAGUGUGGCAGUUAACAGUAAGGGAGAACAUGCUCAUUCAGUCAUUCCACUCAGUAGUAUUUGAGUAUGGCC
rnacentral:lncRNA from 1 species